CCUACGGGAGGCAGCAGCAAGGAAUCUUCCGCAAUGGGCGAAAGCCUGACGGAGCAACGCCGCGUGUGGGAUGACGCCUUUCGGGGUGUAAACCACUUUUCUCAGGGAAGAAGCACUGACGGUACCUGAGGAAGAAGGACCGGCUAACUACGUGCCAGCAGCCGCGGUAAUACGUAGGGUCCGAGCGUUGUCCGGAGUUACUGGGCGUAAAGCGCGCGCAGGCGGCGGUGUAAGCAUGGCGUGAAAGCCCCUGGCUUAACCAGGGAGGGUCGUCGUGGACUGCACCGCUUGAGGGCGGUAGGGGCUGGUGGAAUGCCUGGUGUAGUGGUGAAAUGCGUAGAGAUCAGGCGGAACACCCGUGGCGAAGGCGGCCAGCUGGGCCGUCCCUGACGCUGAGGCGCGAAGGCGUGGGGAGCGAACGGGAUUAGAUACCCCGGUAGUCCACGCAGUAAACGAUGCAGACUAGGCGUGGGGGGAGUUGACCCCCUCCGUGCCGGAGCCAACGCGGGAAGUCUGCCGCCUGGGGAGUACGGCCGCAAGGCUAAAACUCAAAGGAAUUGACGG
rnacentral:rRNA from 1 species